rnacentral:lncRNA from 1 species
GGUCAGCUGCAUUUGGGUUUUUGUCUUUAUUUCCAUUACUCAGAACAGCCAGUCGUGACAGCCAUCCUUGGCUCCCAGGCAGUGAGGGACAAGGCUCUUCCUUGACCCAGAGGCAUGGCAGAGGAAUAACAGCUGGGUCAUCAGAGCCUGACUCCUGGGACCCUCUUCACACGGAAACCACAAACCAGGAUAAAGUCUUUGGGAGCUGCAAGGAUGAGCCAGCUGCGCUGGAGCAGCAAGUAGACCACCCUGCCCCUGGGAGGACCCAGGCGUGGGCAUCCCUGGCUGGAUGGGCCGGAGAUGCUCCACCAGCCACAGCUGGAGCGUCUGCGGGCCAAGCGUGCSGCUCGACGCCCGUGUCUAGAAUGUCACCAGAGCUUCCUCCUCUGUGUCCUGGACGGGAUCCAGGGCUCCCGAAGAAGCUGCGGUUGGGCAGCCCGGGCAGGGCUGGGCUGCUGCUCGCGCUGCGGACGCGGGCCACGCCCUCUUGGACGCGACCACGCCUCCAUCUCCCGGGGCCCACGGAGCCACGCCCGGCCCUGCAGCCAAACAGCAGGAAGGCAGAUUUGUACGAGCCUCCCCCAGUUCCCAGGCCCUGGUGGAGAAACCUUGUGAAAGCCCAGCCCAGGAAGGGAAUUCAUCAAGCCACCUCCAGACACAGCCUCUCCUUUGGCUUCACUCUUGGCCUUCCAGCUGUCACGUGGGCAGCUCAGCGUGGGCAAAGUCCAGGAGCUGAUGUCACUUAUGUGUGAGAAGAAAUAUGGGUCUCAUAUCCUUAAAAUAGCCUGUUGCUGCCCUCCCCGUGUCAUCGAAGACUCAAACACCUUCCUCAUCCUGCUCCAGCUCUGACUCAUGGACUCCCUCACAGCACUAUGCAGAGGCCUCCAAACCCUCAUCCUGCACAGAGCUGAUCUUCUGGAAAGAUGUCCUCCUCACCUCUCAGCUUGCAAACCAUCCUGGACCACUGUCUCUACCUCCCCUGCUCAGUCCCACCUAAUAAAAUCUGAAUUGUUCAAGAGAGAAAAAAGAAG